rnacentral:rRNA from 1 species
AGUGAACGCUGGCGGCGUGCUUAACACAUGCAAGUCGAACGAGAACGGGUUAUAGCUUGCUAUAAUUGUCAGCUAAGUGGCGCACGGGUGAGUAAUGUAUAGGUAAUAUGCCUCUUACUAAGGGAUAACAAAUGGAAACGUUUGCUAAUACCUUAUACUCCUUAUUAACAGAAGUUAAUAAGGGAAAGAUUUAUUGGUAAGAGAUUAGCCUGUAUUGUAUCAGUUAGUUGGUGGGGUAAUGGCUUACCAAGACUAUGACACAUAACUGGUUUGAGAGGAUGAUCAGUCACACUGGAACUGAGACACGGUCCAGACUCCUACGGGAGGCAGCAGUGGGGAAUAUUGCGCAAUGGACGAAAGUCUGACGGAGCGACGCCGCGUGAUGGAUGAAGUCCCUCGGGACGUAAACAUCUUUUAUGAGGGAGGAAGUUAUUGACGUUACCUCAUGAAUAAGGGGUUGCUAAACUCGUGCCAGCAGCCGCCGUAA